rnacentral:rRNA from 1 species
UACGAAGGGUGCAAGCGUUACUCGGAAUUACUGGGCGUAAAGCGUGCGUAGGUGGUGAGUUAAGUCUGUCGUGAAAGCCCCGGGCUCAACCUGGGAAUGGCGAUGGAUACUGGCUCGCUAGAGUGCGGUAGAGGAGAGUGGAAUUCCCGGUGUAGCAGUGAAAUGCGUAGAGAUCGGGAGGAACAUCAGUUGCGAAGGCGGCUCACUGGACCGGUUCUGACGCUGAGGCGCGAAAGCCAGGGGAGCAAACGGG